AUUGAACGCUGGCGGCAGGCCUAACACAUGCAAGUCGAGCGGGGUUUUCGGACCUAGCGGCGGACGGGUGAGUAAUGCGUAGGAAGCUGCCCGAUAGAGGGGGAUACCAGUUGGAAACGACUGUUAAUACCGCAUAAUGUCUACGGACCAAAGUGUGGGACCUUCGGGCCACAUGCUAUCGGAUGCGCCUACGUGGGAUUAGCUAGUUGGUGAGGUAAUGGUUCACCAAGGCGACGAUCUCUAGCUGGUUUGAGAGGAUGAUCAGCCACACUGGAACUGAGACAUGGUCCAGGCUCCUACGGGAGGCAGCAGUGGGGAAUAUUGGACAAUGGGCGCAAGCCUGAUCCAGCCCUGCCGCGUGUGUGAAGAAGGCCUUCGGGUUGUAAAGCACUUUCAGCGAGGAGGAAGGGAUGUAUGUAAAUAGCAUGCAUUUUUGACGUUACUCGCAGAAGAAGCACCGGCUAACUCUGUGCCAGCCGCCGCGGUAAUAC
rnacentral:rRNA from 1 species